UGGGGAAUAUUGCACAAUGGGGGAAACCCUAAUGCAGCGACGCCGCGUGAACGAAGAAGGUAUUCGUAUCGUAAAGUUCUGUCCUAUGGGAAGAUAAUGACAGUACCAUAGAAGAAAGCUCCGGCUAAAUACGUGCCAGCAGCCGCGGUAAUACGUAUGGAGCGAGCGUUGUCCGGAAUUAUUGGGCGUAAAGGGUACGCAGGCGGUUUAAUAAGUCGAAUGUUAAAGAUCGGGGCUCAACCCCGCAAAGCAUUGGAAACUGAUAAACUUGAGUAGUGGAGAGGAAAGUGGAAUUCCUAGUGUAGUGGUGAAAUACGUAGAUAUUAGGAGGAAUACCAGUAGCGAAGGCGACUUUCUGGACACAAACUGACGCUGAGGUACGAAAGCGUGGGGAGCAAACAGG
rnacentral:rRNA from 1 species